GGACGAACGCUGGCGGCGUGCCUAAUACAUGCAAGUCGAACGCUUCUUUCCUACCGAGUGCUUGCACUCACUUGGAAAGAGGAGUGGCGGACGGGUGAGUAACACGUGGGUAACCUACCCAUCAGAGGGGGAUAACACUUGGAAACAGGUGCUAAUACCGCAUAACAGUUUACACCGCCUGGUGUAAAAGUGAAAGGCGCUUUCGGGUGUCGCUGAUGGAUGGACCCGCGGUGCAUUAGCUAGUUGGUGAGGUAACGGCUCACCAAGGCGAUGAUGCAUAGCCGACCUGAGAGGGUGAUCGGCCACACUGGGACUGAGACACGGCCCAGACUCCUACGGGAGGCAGCAGUAGGGAAUCUUCGGCAAUGGACGAAAGUCUGACCGAGCAACGCCGCGUGAGUGAAGAAGGUUUUCGGAUCGUAAAACUCUGUUGUUAGAGAAGAACAAGGACGUAAGUAACUGUACGUCCCCUGACGGUAUCUAACCAGAAAGCCACGGCUAACUACGU
rnacentral:rRNA from 2 species